GACGGGGGGGGCAAGUGUUCUUCGGAAUAACUGGGCGUAAAGGGCACGUAGGCGGGGAAUCGGGUUGAAAGUGAAAGUCGCCAAAAAGUGGCGGAAUGCUCUCGAAACCAAUUCACUUGAGUGAGACAGAGGAGAGUGGAAUUUCGUGUGUAGGGGUGAAAUCCGUAAAUAUACGAAGGAACGCCAAAAGCGAAGGCAGCUCUCUGGGUCCCUACCGACGCUGGGGUGCGAAAGCAUGGGGAGCGAACAGG
rnacentral:rRNA from 1 species